rnacentral:rRNA from 1 species
AUUGAACGCUGGCGGCAGGCUUAACACAUGCAAGUCGAGCGGGGUGAUGGUGCUUGCACUAUCACUUAGCGGCGGACGGGUGAGUAAUGCUUAGGAAUCUGCCUAUUAGUGGGGGACAACAUCUCGAAAGGGAUGCUAAUACCGCAUACGUCCUACGGGAGAAAGCAGGGGAUCACUUGUGACCUUGCGCUAAUAGAUGAGCCUAAGUCGGAUUAGCUAGUUGGUGGGGUAAGGCCUACCAAGGCGACGAUCUGUAGCGGGUCUGAGGGGAUGAUCGGCCACACUGGGACUGAGACACGGGCCAGAUUCCUACGGGAGGCAGCAGUGGGGAAUAUUGGACAAUGGGGGGAACCCUGAUCCAGCCAUGCUGCGUGUGUGAAGAAGGCCUUAUGGUUGUAAAGCACUUUAAGCGAGGAGGAGGCUCUUUUGGUUAAUACCCAAGAUGAGUGGACGUUACUCGCAGAAUAAGCACCGGCUAACUCUGUGCCAGCCGCCGCCGUAA